UACGUAGGGUGCGAGCGUUAAUCGGAAUUACUGGGCGUAAAGCGUGCGCAGGCCGGUUUUGUAAGCCAGAUGUGAAAUCCCCGGGCUUAACCUGGGAAUGGCAUUUGGGACUGCAAGGCUGGAGUGCGGCAGAGGAGACUGGAAUUCCUGGUGUAGCAGUGAAAUGCGCAGAUAUCAGGAAGAACACCUAUGGCGAAGGCAGCUCUCUGGGACGGUACUGACGCUGAGACGCGAAAGCGUGGGGAGCGAACAGG
rnacentral:rRNA from 1 species